AUGAACGCUAGCGACAGGCCUAACACAUGCAAGUCGAGGGGCAGCACAAGGAGCAAUCUGAGGUGGCGACCGGCGCACGGGUGAGUAACACGUAUGCAACCUGCCUGUAAGCGGGGAAUAACCCGUUGAAAGACGGACUAAUACCGCAUAAUACUAAAUUACUGCAUGGUAAUUUAUUUAAACAUUUAUGGCUUACAGAUGGGCAUGCGCAUGAUUAGCUAGUUGGAGAGGUAACGGCUCCCCAAGGCAACGAUCAUUAGGGGUUCUGAGAGGAAGGUCCCCCACACUGGUACUGAGACACGGACCAGACUCCUACGGGAGGCAGCAGUGAGGAAUAUUGGUCAAUGGACGAGAGUCUGAACCAGCCAAGUCGCGUGCAGGAAGAAUGUUCCCUAUGGAUUGUAAACUGCUUUUGCAGGGGAAUAAAGCGCAUCACGUGUGAUGUUUUGUAUGUACUCUGCGAAUAAGGAUCGGCUAACUCCGUGCCAGCAGCCGC
rnacentral:rRNA from 1 species